GGCCUAUGUUGCGCAGGCGGAGCUCGACCGCCCCUUCAAGCGAUGAAGCAGUUCAUCGAUGAGCAUCGUGAUGUCCACGGGGUCGAGCCGAUCUGCACGGUGCUGCCGAUCUCCCCG
rfam:Xanthomonas translucens pv. undulosa strain Xtu 4699, complete genome.